AUUGAACGCUGGCGGCAGGCCUAACACAUGCAAGUCGAGCGAGCGGCGGACGGGUGAGUAAUGUCUGGGAAACUGCCUGCUUGAGGGGGAUAACUACUGGAAACGGUAGCUCAUACCUCAUACCAUCAGAUGUGACCAGAUGGGAUUAGCUAGUAUGUGGGGUUACGGCUCACCUAGGCGACGAUCCCUAGCUGGUCUGAGAGGAUGACCAGCAACUCUGGAAUGGAGACACGGUCCAGACUCCUAUGCUAGGCAGCGGUGGGGAAGAUUGGACAAGGGGCGCAAUCCUGAGUCAGCCAUGCCGCGUGUCGGAAGAAGUCCUUCGGGUUGUAAAGCACUUCCGGCUGGGAGUCGGUACCCGAAGAAGAAGCACCGGCUAACUCCGUGCCAGCAGCCGCGGUAAUAC
rnacentral:rRNA from 1 species